ensembl:lincRNA Gm12292 predicted gene 12292
GGCAGUAAGAUUAGGCACAUCUCCUGUUGAGGCUAUCAGAGACUCAGUAGGGGGAAAUGGUCCUGAAGGUGCGGCAGGAAAUGGCUGACCCCUCACCCUGCCCCUGCAGUGACCUCAACCCUGCUCCUGAGGACCACCCUCCCCGCUGCCUAAGGCGGACCCAUGAUCACCUCUCCAGGUUGGCCGCCAAACACCAGAGGAUGAAGCGCAAACGCAGCGGUUACUGCAACCCAGUUCUUUCAUUCAGAAGGUGAAGGUCACUUAAGCUUUCAUUGUUGCCUUCAAGUUUGUUCGAGAGAGAAUGGAUAAUCAAUAGUGACAGCACAGAAGUCCAAUCUGUCCAGAACUAGAGCUUGGUCUAGUACAGACUAAAGAUAAAAGAAAAAGAUGUGUAGCAUGUCCAACAAUGGGAAGAAAAUUUCCAAGGUCUUCUAGAAAUAGAAAUUUUUUUUUCUACUUGGUCUAUUUGUGUGGUCUUGGCUUUCCAAAAGGGACUCAAGCUCUGAGUGCAGAUUCACAGCAAGUUCUAUAGUCUCUGUUCAACCCCUCUCUCUGCUUACCAGGUCUCAGGGCAGAGCCCUGGAGAGGCCCUUCAAUGAAUACUUACGGAAUUGCACACUAGCCCAGGCAUUUGGCUUGUCCUUUACAUUUUAAUGUUUCAGUUUUACAUCUUGAUGGAUCCACUCCAUCCUUCUCAGCUCUUACCCUACUGCUCAUGGCUGAGCUGUGAUGUACUGGGAAUGUCUGCGUUUAACACCUAUGUCAACAACCCUGUCUAGCAUCUAGGAUCACAGUAAGAAGAAACAAAGGCAUCUUGAGAAAAAAAUACAUGAAAAAAUAUGUAAAUAUAUAUAUAUACACACACACACACAUAUAUAUGUGUGUGUACUGUGCCAUAGGCAUGAUCCUCACACUAAAUAAACAAGUUAAUAAGAUGUAAUAAAAAAAUUAAACAACAGGUUUGAUAUCAUGGUGGUUUGAAUGAGAAGUGCUUCUCACAGGCUCAUGAAUGAAUUAAUUAAAUAAUUAAUCAAUUAACUUUAUUGCCCCACCGAAGUGUUCCCUCCCGUAUCUCCUCCCAGUCCUUCCCCCUGGCCUUGAACUUAGAAAUCUGCCUACCUCUGCCUCCCGGGUGCUGGGAUUAAAGGCAUACACCACCACAUUCAGCUUGAAAAUAUUUUUUGAACACAUUAAAAAAUGUAACAUAAGUCUUUGACUUUUCCUAGAAGAGAAACGCAUCAGAGAAGUUAGAUUAACUCAGCAGGUAUAAUAAUAAGCUCAUACAAAUUGAAGUAAAAUACAAAAAAGUAGGGACAUUAAUGUGAGACCAGAAUGUUUUCAAGUCUAGAGCAUUGAUUAAUUUGAAUAUGCAGUAAAAAUCUACAGGCGUUACAUGAAAGCCACAGCUGCAAAGAGAACCUUGAAAGUUCUUACCCUGUUCUAAACUACAAAGACUCUGAGAAAACAUUAUGGGUUGAUUGGGUUUUGUUUUGUUUUAUUUUGUUUUGUUUUUUGCUUUUUUAUCAUUUUUGCAUCAAACUUAGAAAACAACUGCAAAAGAGACACUCUGAAAUCCACAGAGGCAGAAAAGUGAAGAUGUUUUCUGAAGUAGCUUGAAGAAGAGAAACAGUGCUUGUUUUAUCAAUGGGGGUCACACUCAGCCACCCUUAUCUUCUUCCCCUGCACCCUAGAUCACCCCAAAGCAGCAGAGUCAUAUGGAAACCAAGAUCACCUUAUCAGCGAAGUCCAUAAUUGCAAGGGCUGAUGUGGGUGUGAUGGCUAAUGUUGGUUGUCGACUUGGCACACUUGGGAAGAGGGAACCUCAUCUGAAAAUUGCCUUCAUCAGACCUGUUUGUGGGACAUGAGUGUUAGUUGUUGGAGGAGGGAUUAGUCCACUAUGGGUGGUGCUACCCUUAGGCAGAUAAGUUUGGGAUGUAUAAGGAGGGAAGCUGAGCAUGAGUCUGGGAGCCAGGCAGUAAGCAGCACUUCUUCAUGGCUUCUGCAUUAGCUCCUGCCCUGAGUUCCUGGCCUGACUUCCCUCAGUGAUGGACUGUAGCUUGAGAACUGUAAGAUGAAAGAAAACCUUUGCUCUUUGGACAAAAGACAAGUACAACAAUAUCUCUCAAGGCAAAGUGAGGCUUGCUGCAAAAUCCUCCUUUUGGGUGUUAGAGCAGAGUACCAAUUCUUUGUUUCAGUCUUUUUGUCUGAAUUCCUUCUGAACAGAACCUAAUGCCCUCCAAGGAGAUGAGAGACCUCAAAGUGAACAGGGAGAUUCUGUGUCAGCGCGGCAGGACAGCAGCGCAUGAGGGACUGUGCAAAUACUUAUGCCGUCAUACUUUCUCACUAAAUAAGAAGAAUUAAAAUAACUCACUCAUUUAUUUAACAACAGCAAAAACCUAGAAAAAUAACAAUCGAAUGAACAAACAACAAC